rnacentral:rRNA from 1 species
AGCGAACGCUGGCGGCAGGCCUAACACAUGCAAGUCGAGCGGCCGUAGCAAUACGGCAGCGGCAGACGGGAGAGUAACACGUGGGAACGCGCCCUUCGGUCCGGGAUAACCCAGGGAAAC